rnacentral:rRNA from 1 species
GAUGAACGCUGGCGGCGUGCCUAAUACAUGCAAGUCGAGCGAACAGACGAGGAGCUUGCUCCUCUGACGUUAGCGGCGGACGGGUGAGUAACACGUGGAUAACCUACCUAUAAGACUGGGAUAACUUCGGGAAACCGGAGCUAAUACCGGAUAAUAUAUUGAACCGCAUGGUUCAAUAGUGAAAGACGGCUUUGCUGUCACUUAUAGAUGGAUCCGCGCCGCAUUAGCUAGUUGGUAAGGUAACGGCUUACCAAGGCAACGAUGCGUAGCCGACCUGAGAGGGUGAUCGGCCACACUGGAACUGAGACACGGUCCAGACUCCUAAGGGAGGCAGCAGUAGGGAAUCUUCCGCAAUGGGCGAAAGCCUGACGGAGCAACGCCGCGUGAGUGAUGAAGGUCUUCGGAUCGUAAAACUCUGUUAUUAGGGAAGAACAAAUGUGUAAGUAACUAUGCACGUCUUGACGGUACCUAAUCAGAAAGCCACGGCUAACUACGUG